rnacentral:rRNA from 1 species
AGUGAACGCUGGCGGUAGGCCUAACACAUGCAAGUCGAACGGCAGCACAGUAAGAGCUUGCUCUUACGGGUGGCGAGUGGCGGACGGGUGAGGAAUACAUCGGAACCUACUUUUUCGUGGGGGAUAACGUAGGGAAACUUACGCUAAUACCGCAUACGACCUACGGGUGAAAGCAGGGGAUCUUCGGACCUUGCGCGAUUGAAUGAGCCGAUGUCGGAUUAGCUAGUUGGCGGGGUAAAGGCCCACCAAGGCGACGAUCCGUAGCUGGUCUGAGAGGAUGAUCAGCCACACUGGAACUGAGACACGGUCCAAACUCCUACGGGAGGCAGCAGUGGGGAAUAUUGGACAAUGGGCGCAAGCCUGAUCCAGCCAUACCGCGUGGGUGAAGAAGGCCUUCGGGUUGUAAAGCCCUUUUGUUGGGAAAGAAAAGCAGCAGGUUAAUACCCCGCUGUUCUGACGGUACCCAAAGAAUAAGCACCGGCUAACUUCGUG